GAAAGACCAUGAGACCGAGGAUCCGGCAGAACACAGAUACUCUGGGCAUGAGAGCCACUGGAUCUGUAGCUACAGAAAAUGAACAUACCCACUGAAGGUGUCCUGUGGAGAGGCAGCAGAAGGACACCAAGGACACAGCCCUGGGGGAUGCCAUCCUUCUGAUAUCAGGCUGGAAGGUCCAGCCAAGGGGGCAGGAUGAGGCUGGAAAGCGGGAUGCUCAGAGGCCUGUGGCAACCAUGGGCAUCAAGAAAAGAACAACGAGAGAUGCUUGGAGGCUGGAAUGGGUUUCUGGACUUGGCCCCGUGGAGGAGGUGACUUGGAUUAGGCCAGCUUCGGAGGAACAACUGGCAGAAGUCAGAGUGAGCCACUGAGAGAUGGCUCAGAGGUGAAGAGCACUGGCUGCUCUCACAGAGGAUCGAAAUUCAGGUCCCAGCACCCACGUGGCAACACACAACUAUGUGUAACUGCAGUUCCUGGUGAUCUGGACACAUAUAAGCAAAAUAUUCACACACACACACACACACACACACACACACACACACACACACACACACACUAAAUAUUGAGGGACUGGAGAGAUGGCUCCGUGGUCAAGAGCACUAACUGCUCUUCUAGAGGUCCUGAGUUCAAUUCUCAGCAACCACAUGGUGGCUCACAACUAUCUGUAAUGGGAUCUGAUGCCCUCUUCUGGCGUGUCUGAAGGCAGCUAUGAUG
rnacentral:lncRNA from 1 species